ACCGCUGUCACAUCAACCCCGCUUGGACAGUCUCUUGACUGCGAGGUGACACUGACAUUGGUCUCUCAAAAUGACGAAGCUCCUGUUACAAGCCAGGAUGACCAAACAACACAAAGUGAAGAUGACGAUUUGGACAGCACCCAAAUGGCACCUGUGGGAAGUGGCUCAGACACCGAGAGACAGAAAGAUGCUCCAAGCAAGAUAACCAUGAACAAUAUACUUGAAAAACAAUAUCAAAUAUUAACACUGGAAGAGACUAAACUAAAAUUAGAAAUACAAAAACUAGAAUUAGAGAAAACUAAGCUAAAGUUGGAGCUACAAAAACUUGGACAUGAACUAUAGAUCUCAUCGAACAUUGUCCAAUAACUAAUCAAACAAUUGUCUAUUUAAUAAGUACUGGUAUUUAAUUUUGAAUUUACAUAUGUAAUGUUUACAUACAGAAUCUUUAGAGAUAUUUAAGAGAUUUGAAGAAUUUUAGUGUAAGUUAAUGUGUAGUGAUUUGAAGAUUAUAUCAUAUUUCAGCUGAUUGUACUGAUACUAUGCAUCAAAUAUUUUGUAAGUAUUGUCUCAAUUAAUAAAUUAUAAUAUGUCCACUUAA